rnacentral:rRNA from 1 species
GGUAGCACAGAGAGCUUGCUCUCGGGUGACGAGUGGCGGACGGGUGAGUAAUGUCUGGGAACUGCCCGAUGGAGGGGGAUAACUACUGGAACGGUAGCUAAUACCGCAUAAUGUCGCAAGACCAAAGAGGGGGACCUUCGGGCCUCUUGCCAUCGGAUGUGCCCAGAUGGGAUUAGCUUGUAGGUGGGGUAACGGCUCACCUAGGCGACGAUCCCUAGCUGGUCUGAGAGGAUGACCAGCCACACUGGAACUGAGACACGGUCCAGACUCCUACGGGAGGCAGCAGUGGGGAAUAUUGCACAAUGGGCGCAAGCCUGAUGCAGCCAUGCCGCGUGUAUGAAGGAAGGCCUUCGGGUUGUAAAGUACUUUUCAGCGAGGAGGAGGGCGUUGGUGGUUAAUAACCACAGCGAUUGACGUUACUCGCAGAAGAAGCACCCGGCUAACUUCCGUGCCAGCAGCCGCGCUCACUUACCC